rnacentral:rRNA from 1 species
AUACGUAGGGGGCGAGCGUUGUCCGGAAUGAUUGGGCGUAAAGGGCGCGUAGGCGGCCGCUUAAGUCUGGAGUGAAAGUCCUGUUUUCAAGAUGGGAAUUGCUUUGGAUACUGGGGGGCUUGAGUGCAGGAGAGGUUAUCGGAAUUCCCGGUGUAGCGGUGAAAUGCGUAGAGAUCGGGAGGAACACCAGUGGCGAAGGCGGGUAACUGGACUGCAACUGACGCUGAGGCGCGAAAGUGUGGGGAGCAAACAGGAUUAGAUACCCUGGUAGUCCACACUGUAAACGAUGAAUGCUAGGUGUAAGAGGUAUCGACCCCUUUUGUGCCGGAGUCAACACAAUAAGCAUUCCGCCUGGGGAGUACGGCCGCAAGGUUGAAACUCAAAUGAAUUGGCGGGG